AGCGAACGCUGGCGGCAGGCCUAAAACAUGCAAGUCGAACGCCCGUAGCAAUACGGGAGUGGCAGACGGGUGAGUAACACGUGGGAACGUACCCUUUGGUUCGGAACAACACAGGGAAACUUGUGCUAAUACCGGAUAAGCCCUUACGGGGAAAGAUUUAUCGCCAGAGGAUCGGCCCGCGUCUGAUUAGCUUGUUGGUGAGGUAACGGCUCACCAAGGCUACGAUCAGUAGCUGGCUGAGAGGAUGAUCAGCCACACUGGGACUGAGACACGGCCAGACUCCUACGGGAGGCAGCAGUGGGGAAUAUUGCGCAAUGGACGAAAGUCUGACGCAGCAACGCCGCGUGAGGGAUGACGGCC
rnacentral:rRNA from 1 species